rnacentral:lncRNA from 1 species
AAUGCUGGCUGUAUUUAAUAAUUUUAAAUUUAUUUACUCAUAAAAUCUAAUUAGUAAAAAGUGAAGUAAGGAAUUGCUAAUAAAUUAAAAGGAAUGAUAAAUUGUUUAGUAACUAGUCGGAAUUGAGAAGAGAGUGGAUGGAUAGUUCUUGUUAUGAAAUAGUAUCAUAAUGAAUCAUAAAUAGAAAAUCAUGGAUGGAUAAGGAUGGGAUAUUUAAUUUUUGUCCAUCAUUUCGUCUAAUUAAGAAACCAAAAUGAUCAUAUACUUAAUCGGAGAAGUCUUGCUGGUAGUAAAGGCCAAUUCAUAGUUCUUCGGAAUGGAAAAGGAAAGGAACGCUGAAGUUAUCUUCUGCGCGGUAUUUCUCGCAUUCCUUUUGACGUACAGUAGUUCCGUUCUUUCCAUCUCACUCCGAAAAGUUAACAGUGCUUCUACUUUUCCUUUGUUGGUAUCUCAUAAAUCAAAAAUCAUCGCGUAUAUUAGCCAAUUCAAUACGAUAUCCUUAAUUAUAAUAAAUAUUAUUAUUUCGGCCAAGAUUAUUAUUAAUUAUGUUACAGUUUCUUAUAAUAAAACUUAAUAAUAAGUCUGAAAUACUGAAAAAGAAUUUAGAGAUCAUUAUUCCUGAC